GCCCCCAUAGCUCAAUGGAUAGAGCAGCGCUCUUCUAAGGCGAGGAUCUGGGUUCGACUCCUAGUGGGGGCACCA
rnacentral:tRNA from 1 species